rnacentral:rRNA from 1 species
GAUGAACGCUGGCGGCGUGCCUAAUACAUGCAAGUCGAGCGAAUGGAUUAAGAGCUUGCUCUUAUGAAGUUAGCGGCGGACGGGUGAGUAACACGUGGGUAACCUGCCCAUAAGACUGGGAUAACUCCGGGAAACCGGGGCUAAUACCGGAUAACAUUUUGAACCGCACGGUUCGAAAUUGAAAGGCGGCUUCGGCUGUCACUUAUGGAUGGACCCGCGUCGCAUUAGCUAGUUGGUGAGGUAACGGCUCACCAAGGCAACGAUGCGUAGCCGACCUGGGAGGGUGAUCGGCCACACUGGGACUGAGACACGGCCCAGACUCCUACGGGAGGCAGCAGUAGGGAAUCUUCCGCAAUGGACGAAAGUCUGACGGAGCAACGCCGCGUGAGUGAUGGAGGCUUUCGGGUCGUAAAACUCUGUUGUUAGGGAAGAACAAGUGCUAGUUGAAUAAGCUGGCACCUUGACGGUACCUAACCAGAAAGCCACGGCUAACUACGUGCCAGCCGCCGCGGUAA